rnacentral:rRNA from 1 species
GACGAACGCUGGCGGCGUGCCUAAUACAUGCAAGUCGAGCGGACUUACAAAGCUUGCUUUUUAAGUUAGCGGCGGACGGGUGAGUAACACGUGGGCAACCUGCCUGUAAGACUGGGAUAACUUCGGGAAACCGGAGCUAAUACCGGAUAAUCCUUUUCUACUCAUGUAGAAAAGCUGAAAGACGGUUUACGCUGUCACUUACAGAUGGGCCCGCGGCGCAUUAGCUAGUUGGUGAGGUAACGGCUCACCAAGGCGACGAUGCGUAGCCGACCUGAGAGGGGGAUCGGCCACACUGGGACUGAGACACGGCCCAGACUCCUACGGGAGGCAGCAGUAGGGAAUCUUACGCAAUGGCCGAAAGUCUGACGGAGCAACGCCGCGUGAGUGAUGAAGGUGUUCGGAUCGUAAAACUCUGUUGUUAGGGAAGAACAAGUACGAGAGUAACUGCUCGUACCUUGACGGUACCUAAUCAGAAAGCCACGGCUAACUACGUG